UACGUAGGGUGCGAGCGUUAAUCGGAAUUACUGGGCGUAAAGCGUGCGCAGGCGGUUGCUGAAGUCCGUUGUGAAAGCCCCGGGCUUAACCUGGGAAUGGCAGUGGAAACUAGGCGACUUGAAUCUGGCAGAGGGGGGUGGAAUGCCACGUGUAGCAGUGAAAUGCGUAGAGAUGUGGCGGAACACCGAUGGCGAAGGCAGCCCCCUGGGUCAAGAUUGACGCUCAGGCACGAAAGCGUGGGGAGCAAACAGG
rnacentral:rRNA from 1 species